GCUUUUCCGGUCGCCGCGGUCCUCUGCGCGGGAUGUGGCUCUGAGCUUCGGGGUAGUCCGCGAGGCUGGGUUCCGUGCUGAGGGGCGUCGCGUCUGGCCGUGCGCUGCGGGAGCGCGCGGGCCUGGCCCGCUGUCCUGGCCGCUGCGAGGCGCUCAGCUUCUUUCUGAGUGUUCCGCCGGGUUCGACAGGGUCGAGGUCGCCGGCGCGAGGCUCCCGGAUAGCUGAGGGGCGCGAGGGCGCCUCCAGUCUCCCACCUGCCCUCCCGCGCCGCGGACUAGGCUGCCAGUCUACCCCACCGGGACGUCUGCCCCCGCAUGCAGGAGGGGGUGUGUCGGCCCAACGGGGUCUCAGGACCUGUCCCUGCUCCUCCAAAGCCCACGUCGCCUGCGGCGCCCCUCGGGUCUGCGCCGCGUUCUCCUUUAGCCUCCCGGGCCUCUCCGCUGCCCCUCGCCCCCAGGCACCAGCCACACCUGCUUCCUUCUGUUCCCGCCCGUGGCCUCUGACACGCCGUGCCCUGGACCCGAAAUGCCCGCCCCACUCCUGGAGCCUCCGGUGUGUGAGAGGCACCUUUCCUUGGGGUCAGGGGCCCGGACUCUGAAGCCGGCCUGGCUUUGCCUGUGGGCCCCGAUCCUCCCAGCUCGAGUCCCUCGCCCCAGCCGCCGCGGGCCUUCACCUGUGCUUUGGGGACGACAGGAUGGCCACCCUCCUUCCCCCAAAGAUUUGAGGGUUUUGCUCCACGCGGGAGAAGGUCUGCCUGUGCCACCAGCCGGCAGCCUUUCACAUGCUGUUGCGUUACGGGGCCCUCUGUGACCUUUCCCUAGGCCGAGGGGUGCUUCGUCUCUGUUCCUGAGAGACCAGAAUUUAUUCUUGGUUUGUCAAGCCACAUCUGUAGGAAUGUUGCCCAGUUGCAGCAGGCUGGGGUCUGGGACUUGCUCCUUUGGCGAAUUGAGAAGUAAGGAUAUAGAAGGCAUUUUAGCACUAAUGGAAACCAGAACCACUCUUAGACCUGGGCAAGAGGGGCCCCAGAAAUUAGCAAGCGAUUAGCAAGCAGCUGGAUUUCGAUGACCUCCACUGUACUUAGAGCAACGGCAUUCGAUUCGUUGGAUCAUUUCAAAGAUGACAUACUGGGUUGUUUGUUUGUUUCUGGCGGUGUCUAAAGAUGGAACAUCUUGAAGCAUUUUGAAUUUGACCUGUGGCUACCCUCAGAUACAAUGAUGGUAACCCCAUGAGUGCUGUUAAAGCAAUUUGACUUAUUGUAGACAGGUUAACACAUGAGAUGCGUUAAAAGAGUUAAGUGAAAUAAUAGGCAGCAUUCAAAGAGCAAAUCGUGGUCUUUGGCAGAAAAUAGAGUUAAUUUUGUAUUUGAGCUGUCCAGUUAUUACAAUUAGAAAACGUUUUAAAGAAUCCAAAAGGAUUUAAAAUAUUGCAUAAAGUUUUAGGAGAAAAUGGUUUCCAAAAAGCAACUGCAUAUGAAAUAAGCACUAAAAUGACAUUAAAGUACAAUGUAAGAAAAUCGGAACUAGAAGCAUUUGCUGGAGUCUGAAGAAAAAGAUUUAUGGAUGAAUGAUUCUGAAACUAACUUCUAUAGAGACAAUUUUCCGGCGAUGGUAGAUCAAGGUGUAGAUUGUACUGAAGAGAGAGAUUCAAACAAAGUGAAGACUGUGAAAGAAAAUCUGAAAAUCAGAAGGAAUUGAAUGCAGAUGAAAAUCUAGAGCUAAAAUAUUGCUAAUAGCAGCAAAAGGGGGUACUGUGGAAGAAUAACUUCUUAUGUACCCCACUUCACUGAAUAUCCUAUUCGCCCCGUUCUCCAUUUCUGCCAGUAACAUGGAAGUCUAAAGGCUUGCAUUUUGUUUCUAGUGCUAACUAAUGAAAUUCCAGAAGCAGGCCUUAAAAAUGCAAAGUCUUCAUAAUUAACAAUAAGUGUUGAGAUAGUUGAAGGGCAUAUAUCCC
rnacentral:lncRNA from 10 species